AUUAGGGACAACUUAUUUUUUAAAAGCUAAAGAAGAUGGAUUCCAAAAACUGUAUGAUAGAAAACUAACAGUAGAUGCCCAGCAAAAUUCUAAAAAUAGAAAUGCUUACAAACUCUUUGAAAAGAGAUCACUGUGAGCUAGUAACCAAAAGGAAACCAUGCCAGACUUAAUUCCUUUUAAAAAUAAGUGGUGUAGAGUGAUAGCAAUCCUUUUUCACCAUGAUCAACAGUGAAUGAUUUAACUAUUAUCAACAAGGCAACGAUCCAGGACAACUCCAAUGGAGUCAUGAUGAAAAAAGGUGGAGAUAACCACAACCUUGUGAAUGUUGGAAAAUUAAGCGAGUUAACCUUCAGAAGACUGGGAGUUGAAGUCUAUUCAAGGAUGUUCUAGGAUUCAAGUAGUAAGCAGCCAAGUCUCAAGUCGUAUUCCAUUGUUAUCAAUAGCAAAGAUUCAGACUCAUUUAUCAAUUUGCAAUGCUGCAUUUUGAAUUAAACUUGGUGGAGAAAAUAUGAUGUAGAAAUUCUUUAAAGUUUGAGCCUCUACUCCUUCAAGGUGAUAUAGAGGGAAGAAUGUGCCAAGGUUUGGAGGGGAGAAAUUUUUGUUCUUCCAUUAUUUUGCUUUUGCAUCAAACUUACCUUUGUAAAAGCCAUUUGAAGUUAACUGGUUAAAAUUAAUUGUAGCAUUGUUGGAGGUUAAUAGUUUAUGCAUGGAAUGUGGUGAAAUGAUGCUUCGAAAUGAUAAAAUUAGAGAAGUAUCCCCUCAGAGGUACCCCUAGACCGUUAAGGAAGAGAUAUAGCUUUACUUUGGGAGAGUGAAUCCAGAGGUUUGCCACCUCGGCAAAAUCUAAGGAAUAGUUAAAGACAUUUAAUAUUUAGAAAGAAGGUCCACAAAAUAUUGGAGAGGCAGUUUAUUCCCUCAAACAUGAAUUUAGGUAUAGAAGAGAUCUCUAAGGUUAUUUAGUCCAGAUUUCUUUUUUUAAGCCCAAAAAAGCAAAUUACAUUUAUCCAAUGUCAUAAGAAUAAGUAAGUAGAAGAGACAGAAUUUUAACUUAUGGCUGACUCAGACACCAAUCCUUUUUUGUUUGUUUGUUUGUUUGUUUUACAAAAUGCUCAUCACUCACCCCUGUCCUAUGUGGUUGAAGAAACAAAACAAAACAGAACAUCCUAUAGAGAUUAAAGGAUUAUUAAAGGAUUAUAAAAUGUCUAAUAUAAUCAGUCCAUAGAAUACAAUCAUAAGAUUUUGUGCUGAAAGGAAUCAUAAAGAUCGUUUAGUUCAAAUCUCUCAUUUUACAUAAGUGGAAACUGAUAUACAUAGAGGAGAAAUGACCUUUCAAGGUUCCACAGCUAAUAAAAGGAUUGUAGUCACUGUGAAAUUGGUACUUGCCAUCACAAAUGACACUUUUACCUUCUUGGACAGUUCUUUAAUAACUACUUGCUCUUCAAAAUACCAUGAAAGUCAUCAAUAUUGGAAGGAAUACUGGAAUUCAGGUGUUCUUGGUUCUGGUCUUAGAAUUGUUAGUCCCCAUCUCUAUGAACUUGGAUAAAUUCUUAACCUCUCUAGACUUCAAUUUUCUUAUCUAUAAAAUUGAUCUUUAGAGUGUCUUCCAGUUCUGAAAUUCUAUGAUUAUUUGAUUUUAUCGUAGGUGAUAGGAACCACCCCCUGACCCUACCUCCACCCGACAGUUCUUGGAACGUUAAUUUAUCAGCAUCAGACUUUGCAUACUGUAUUGACUCUCUAAUACCUUACAUUGUAAAGCAGGCUACUUGAGGGUAAAUAGUCACUAAUUAAUAAAGGAACUUUAUUUUAAAAGCAUCUAAUUGUGUGCAUGAUAUAACUAGACCAUCUUGAAAUUAUUUCCCUUACUAAGAACACUAUUUUUAACUCAGUAUGAGCAGAACUUGGUAUCACUACAAUUCCUUAAAAGUUCUUACAGCUAUUAUAGCUUUUUAAAAAUGAAAUUUUACAUUCCCAUUUAUUUGAUGUGUCAUAGUAAUUUCCUUUUUUUAAGCCCUUAACUUCUGUCUUAGAAUUGAUACUAAGUAUUGGUUCCAACAUAGAAGAGCAGUAAGGGCUAGGCAAUUGGAAUUAAGUGAUUUGCCAAGAGUCAAACAGCUAGAAAGUAUCUGAGAUUAGAUUUGAACCCAGGACAUCCUGUCUCCAGGCCUGGCUAUCUAUCCACAGAGUCACCUAACUAUCCCAUUUUUUCAUAAUAAUUUCUUAAAGGAAAUGAUAUUAGAGAUUUCUGCAGUAGGGAAGAGGGACAAAGAUUAGACCAGUGAUUUUCUUAGUAUAGUGAACACCUUGAUGAGGAAACUUCCUUUACUAAUGCAAGACAAUAACUUCUCUGCCUCUUAUAGUCUUAUAGAGUUGCCUAGGAUAUCAAGAGGUUGAUUUUCUCAAUCACAAGACUCUGUCAGAGAUGUAAUUGAACUAAAGUCUUCUUUAUUUUAAGCCCAACUCUGUCAUCCAAGUUAUGCUGUCUGUCAUAAUGCAUGUAUAGUGAGUAGAAAUAGAAAAAAACAGAGUAGAUAGGGUAUUCAGGGUGUCCCAAAAAUCUUAUUGCAAUUUUAAGUAGCUUAAAAUCAUCAGGUGGAACAGAGUGAAAGUAAGGAUUAUUUUAAAUCCAAUGGUGAGGAGUUCACACAGUAGAAUAGAAUGCUGGUCUUAGAGUCAGGAAGACUUAUCUUUAUGAGUUCAAAUCUGCCCCUAGACACUUACCAACUGUGACUCUGGUCAAGUUACUUAACCCUGCCUCAGUUCCUCAACUGUAAAAUGAGCAGGAGAAGGAAAUGCUAAACCACUCCAGUAUCCAAGAAAAC